CAUGAUCUUGUUUUCUCAAGCAGACCCAAGCUAAGUGUCGCUGAGAAGCUUCUUUACAAUCUCAAGGAUGUGGCUGUAGCUCCAUAUGGAGAGCAUUGGAGAAAGAUGAGAAGCAUUUGUGUACUCCAACUCCUGAGCAACAGAAGAGUUCAGUCUUUUCGGGCUGUGAGAGAAGAAGAGGUAGAAUUCUUGAUGGAGAAGAUCCAGCAGAAUUCUUCGUUGUCUUUGCCUGUGAAUAUGAGCGAAAUGUUUUCUUCCCUGACAAACGAUGUGAUAUGCAGGGUAGCUUUUGGGAAGAAGUACAAUAAUGGUGAAGAUGGUAAAAAGUUUACCAAGCUAAUGGAUGAUUUGAUGAGGUUAUUGGGAAGCUCAUUAAAUAUUGGGGAAUUCAUUCCUUGGCUUGGGUGGGUUAAUUGGGUCAAUGGUUUUAAUGCCAAAAUUGAUAGAACGGCUAAAGAUUUUGAUGAAGUUAUAGAUGGGAUCCUUGAAGAGCAUAUGAUGAAUAAUCAGGAGGAUAAAACUCAUAGAAAUGGAAAAGAAGAUCCAAACAAGGACUUGGUGCAUAUUCUGCUUGAGCUUCAAAAGGAAAACGCAUCCGAGUUUUCACUUGACAGAGAACGUAUCAAGGCUCUCAUUUUGGAUAUGUUUCUUGGCGGGUCUGAUACCUCUUCUACAGUCCUAGAAUGGACGAUGACAGAGCUGUUAAGACAUCCUAGAAUCAUGAAGGAACUACAGAAUGAGAUCAGGAGAAUUACUCAUGAAAAAUCCAAAGUAACAGAAGAUGAUUUGAAUGAAAUGCAUUACCUCAAAUUGGUGAUUAAAGAGGCUCUUCGCUUGCAUCCGCCUUUUCCAUUGCUAGCCCCAAGAGAAUCAAUCCAAGAUGCCAAAAUAAUGGGCUAUGAUAUUGCUGCUGGAACUAUGGUUCUAAUCAAUGCUUGGGGCCUGGCAAGAGACCCCAACACUUGGACCAAGCCUGAAGAGUUCUGGCCUGAGAGGUUCUUGAAUAAUCCUGUAGAUUUCAAAGGCCACCACUUGGAGUUCAUCCCAUUUGGAGCUGGUAGGAGAGGUUGUCCAGG
rnacentral:misc_RNA from 1 species